rnacentral:lncRNA from 10 species
GUAAUGAUUGUUUUGAUAUUUUACACAUGUGAUCAUGGCUUCAUCUCACCUUAGACCUGACUGGCCAGUGUCUCAAAGACAUAGAUGGUGACCAGCUCUCUCUGGAACAGAUGGCACUCCAGCUUUGUGGGAGCAACUUUCAAGGACCUGUCUACAAGCAACAUUGUAACAUAUUUCUGAGCCCAUCACAUGGAUAAUGUGACCCUUCUCUUUUUGUCCUGCCCCAAGUGAAGAUUGUGACAUGUCACCAGGCCCUUUGUCUAGGCAAUAUGACUCUUCUCUCCUGUCUGGGCCCUGAUUACAAGGGGGAUUGUGACAAUCACUGGGCCCAUCAUGUAGAUAAUAAGAGUUUCUCUUCCUGCCUGGGCCUUUUCUACAGAAAAGAUUAAGACAUCACUGGGCCAAGCACCCACAUGAUGUCACUCGCCUGCCUGCAUUCUGCCUACAGUGGGUAUUGUGACAUAUCCCUGGCACAGAACCAAGGUAACGUGACUCACCUACCUGGUUCCUGCCCACUGAUGGGAUUGUGACAUAUACCUAGGUCCAGCUCACAGGCAUGAUGAUAACUGUCAUACGUGGACCCAGCCAAUAAGAGAUUUUUGCUCUUAGGCUUAUUACAACAGGUAUGCUUCUGGGUAUUCUACAUAUAGAGAGGUCACGGACUAUUAGGACGCUCAUGCAUAUUUUAUAAAGACCUUGGGUGGUACACAGAUGUUGUCACAGGCCAGUGCACAUGUGAAAUUGUGACUCCCCUAGGCAUACCCAGCCAAUCAUUAAGAUUUUCACCCUCAAUGCAUGCAUACAGCCCACUCUUGAGGUUCUCAAUCUCACACCUGGUAGCAGUCAAAAUUUGGAAUUGUGACUCUCAUAUGGGGAUUUGAUUGACAGGUAAAAUUAUAACUCUUUUUUUUUUUUUUUUUUUUUUUUUUUUUGAGACAGAGUCUCGCUCUGUCACUCAGGCUGGAGUGCAGUGGCAUGAUCUCAGCCCGCUGCAACCUUCGCCUUCCAGGUUCAAGCAGUUCUCCUGCCUCAGCUCUUGGACAAAACUUCAGCACUCCUGCUAGGGUGUGUCUGCCCUACUAAGACACUGUGCGCAGGUGGAGUUGAGGCUCUUAUGUAUGGAUCCUGUCCACUGUUGAGAUUGUGAAUUGCAUGUGUAGACUCAACUCACAGGAGGUGUUGACUCACAAACCUCCAGCUGGGACAUGUGCAGGAUUAGAAAUUUUAUUUCUGGAUCUUUCUUCAGGCGUUGUAACAUCUCACUAAGCCCAGCACUCAGGCGAUGUGGCUUUCCUGCUAUGGCACUGCACACAAGAAGAAUGUUGACAUAUUCCUGGCCCAGAAUUCAGGUGAAAUUGUGGCAUAUACCUGGG